UACGUAGGGUCCGAGCGUUGUCCGGAAUUAUUGGGCGUAAAGGGCUCGUAGGCGGUUUGUCGCGUCGGGAGUGAAAACUCAGGGCCCAACCCUGAGCGUGCUUCCGAUACGGGCAGACUAGAGGUAUGCAGGGGAGAACGGAAUUCCUGGUGUAGCGGUGGAAUGCGCAGAUAUCAGGAGGAACACCGGUGGCGAAGGCGGUUCUCUGGGCAUUACCUGACGCUGAGGAGCGAAAGCAUGGGGAGCGAACAGG
rnacentral:rRNA from 1 species